GGCGGGUCUCCCCGCAUUGCAGUGUAGUGAACCUGGUCAGGGCCGGAAGGAAGCAGCCAUAACUACUACUGUAAGUGCCGGGGUAAGGCUCGCCUCC
rnacentral:SRP_RNA from 1 species